GAUGAACGCUGGCGGCGUGCCUAAUACAUGCAAGUCGAGCGAAUGGAUUAAGAGCUUGCUCUUAUGAAGUUAGCGGCGGACGGGUGAGUAAUACGUGGGUAACCUGCCCAUAAGACUGGGAUAACUCCGGGAAACCGGGGCUAAUACCGGAUAACAUUUUGAACCGCAUGGUUCGAAAUUGAAAGGCGGCUUCGGCUGUCACUUAUGGAUGGACCCGCGUCGCAUUAGCUAGUUGGUGAGGUAACGGCUCACCAAGGCAACGAUGCGUAGCCGACCUGGUAGGGUGAUCGGCCACACUGGGACUGAGACACGGCCCAGACUCCUGCGGGAGGCAGCAGUAGGGAAUCUUCCGCAAUGGACGAAAGUCUGACGGAGCAACGCCGCGUGAGUGAUGAGGGCUUUCGGGUCGUAAAACUCUGUUGUUAGGGAAGAACAAGUGCUAGUUGAAUAAGCUGACACCUUGACGGUACCUAACCAGAAAGCCACGGCUAACUACGUGCCAGCCGCCGCCGUAA
rnacentral:rRNA from 1 species